UACGUAGGGUGCAAGCGUUGUCCGGAAUUAUUGGGCGUAAAGGGCUCGUAGGCGGUCCAUCGCGUCGGGAGUGAAAAGCUGGGGCUCAACCCCAGUCCUGCUUCCGAUACGGGUGGACUAGAGGUAGGCAGGGGAGAACGGAAUUCCUGGUGUAGCGGUGAAAUGCGCAGAUAUCAAGUGGAACACCAGUGGCGAAGGCGAGUCCCUGGACAACACCUGACACUGAGGCACGAAAGCUAGGGGAGCAAACAGG
rnacentral:rRNA from 1 species